rnacentral:rRNA from 1 species
AUUGAACGCUGGCGGCAGGCCUAACACAUGCAAGUCGAGCGGAGCGGCGGACGGGAGAGUAAUGCAUAGGAAUCUGCCUGGUAGUGGGGGAUAACGUCCGGAACCGGGCGAUAAUACCGCAUACUAUUAGAUGAGCCUAGGGCGGAUUAGCAAGUUGGUGGGGUAAAGGCCUACCAGGGUGACGCACCGUACAUGGUCUGCGAGGAUGAUCAGUCACACUGGAGCUGGGAGACGGUCCGGACUCCUACGGGAGGGAGCAGUGGGGAAUAUUGGACAAUGGGCGAAAGCCUGGUCCAGCGAUGCCGCGUGUGUGAAGAAGGUCUUCGGGUUGUAAAGCACUUUAAGUUGGGAGGCGUUACCAACAGAAUAAGCCCCGGCUAACUUCGUGCCAGCCGCCGCGGUAAUUC